UACGUAGGGUGCGAGCGUUAAUCGGAAUUAUUGGGCGUAAAGAGCUUGUAGGCGGUUUGUCGCGUCUGCCGUGAAAAUCCGGGGCUCAACCCCGGACUUGCGGUGGGUACGGGCAGACUAGAGUGUGGUAGGGGAGACUGGAAUUCCUGGUGUAGCGGUGAAAUGCGCAGAUAUCAGGAGGAACACCGAUGGCGAAGGCAGGUCUCUGGGCCACUACUGACGCUGAGAAGCGAAAGCGUGGGGAGCGAACAGG
rnacentral:rRNA from 1 species